UACGGAGGGUGCAAGCGUUAAUCGGAAUUACUGGGCGUAAAGCGCACGCAGGUGGCUAAGUCAGUCGAUUGUGAAAGCCCUGGGCUUAACCUGGGAAUUGCAGUCGAUACUACUUAGCUAGAGUAUGGGAGAGGGCAGUGGAAUUCCGGUGUAGCGGUGAAAUGCGUAGAUAUCGUGAGGAACACCAGAGGCGAAGGCGGCUACCUGGACAAUUGCUGACGCUCAGGCACGAAGCGUGGGGAAGCAAAGGGAGUUAGAAACCCC
rnacentral:rRNA from 1 species